rnacentral:tRNA from 1 species
GUUAAGAUGGCAGAGCCCGGUUUUGCAAAAGGCCUAAGCCCUUUGUACAGAGGUUCAAGUCCUCUUCUUAACU